rnacentral:tRNA from 1 species
AGGGGGUUAGUCCAAGCUAAGAUCUCUGAUUUCGACUCAGAAAAUCGUGGUUCAAUCCCACGACCUCCUC